UCCCUGAUAGCUCAGUUGGUAGAGCGACGGACUGUUAAUCCGCAGGUCCCUGGUUCGAGUUUUGGUUGGUGCAGCA
rnacentral:tRNA from 1 species